UACGUAGGGUGCAAGCGUUAUCCGGAAUUAUUGGGCGUAAAGAGCUCGUAGGCGGUUUGUCACGCCUGGUGUGAAAGUCCAUCGCUUAACGGUGGAUCUGCGCCGGGUACGGGCAGGCUAGAGUGCAGUAGGGGAGAUUGGAAUUCCCGGUGUAACGGUGGAAUGUGUAGAUAUCGGGAAGAACACCAAUGGCGAAGGCAGAUCUCUGGGCUGUUACUGACGCUGAGGAGCGAAAGCAUGGGGAG
rnacentral:rRNA from 1 species